ACAUACAUACAUACAUACAUCAGGACUCGAUUGCCCCACCCACUCACACCUUGUGGUCGGGAUAUUUAGUAACUACUAUGCAAUACCGGCGUCUUUUCGUUCAUAUUGUGAGGCAGCUCUAAAAGCAGAAAAAUCAGGCAGCACAGACACUGUUGUCCCCUCGGCUGAUAUAUAUAAGUUCAGGCACUGCAAGGCUUAUGUGGUCGAAGGGGAUGCAGCAAACAUGUGCUGCCAAGAUGUUAGGGAUGUCUACCCUACAUUCAUGGGCUCAAAUCUCUUCCUGGCUGACAUACCCGUGGCGUGGACAACAGAACAAAUUCAAAGCCUUGUGUACACCACAAAACAGCUGAAUACAAUACCCGAGAAAACUGUGAGCACAUUUAAUGUUGCAUUGAUUAGCACCAGUCUCUCAAAAAUUGAAGAACUGAAGAAUUGUUUGUUGAAGUGCUACGAACACGUCAGUGCAUGUGUGCUACUGGCAGACAGCGUGCACAGGUGGCUUAGAUUCCACUCAUCCACUGGGAUUUAUCCCAUCAAUUGGAUGUGUGGUAGUGGGACACUACUCACUCAGUGGAAAGCUGGAGGAGGACCACUUUAACUUCGUUGAGGAAGGGCGGUCCAAUUUCUUCCCCUGUAUUGAUCAAUCCACUGCUAAGAUUCCGAUUUGUGUGCUGACAGGCAUUAUAAAGAAGCUGUCUUUUGAAGGGAGCACUGUUAUUGAUGCCACAAGUGAAUCUGGUAACUGUGCAAUCGCCUCACUACAAGCAGGAAGAGAUGUGGUGGUACUCAAGGCAUUGGCCCAAGCAGCACUUGCAAGAAGCCAGCUUGCAGAACUGUCAACAACAUAGCUAGCUAUGGACUAGACUAUACUAUACUGUUUCAAGCGUUCCGUUAACUUCUAUGUUACUUUGUAUAU